GAUCCUGGCUCAGGACGAACGCUGGCGGCGCGCCUAACACAUGCAAGUCGAACGAGCGAGAGAGAGCUUGCUUUCUCGAGCGAGUGGCGAACGGGUGAGUAACGCGUGAGGAACCUGCCUUGAAGAGGGGGACAACAGUUGGAAACGACUGCUAAUACCGCAUGACGCAUAGGGGUCGCAUGAUCUUUAUGCCAAAGAUUUAUCGCUUCAAGAUGGCCUCGCGU
rnacentral:rRNA from 1 species